UACAGAGGGGGCAAGCGUUAUUCGGAAUUAUUGGGCGUAAAGGGCGCGUAGGCGGCCUGACAAGUGGAAGGUGAAAUCCCUCGGCUCAACUGAGGAACUGCCCUCCAAACUGUUUGGCUUGAGACCGGGAGAGGUGAGUGGAAUUCCCAGUGUAGCGGUGAAAUGCGUAGAUAUUGGGAGGAACACCAGUGGCGAAGGCGGCUCACUGGACCGGUACUGACGCUGAGGCGCGAAAGCGUGGGGAGCAAACGGGG
rnacentral:rRNA from 1 species